UGAAUACGAGACGCUAAGGCGUCGAAGUAGUGUAUGUCAUACUUCCAAGAAAAGCUUGCACUGUCAUAGAUAAAAAACGCCUGUACCAUAACCGACACAGGUGGGUAGGUAGAGUAUACUAAGGGGCGCGAGAUAACUCUCUCUAAGGAACUCGGCAAAAUAACUCCGUAACUUCGGGAGAAGGAGUGCCUUAUUCGUAAGGUUGCAAUAACAAGAUCCAAGCAACUGUUUAUCAAAAACACAGGUCUCCGCUAAGUCGUAAGACGAUGUAUGGGGGCUGACGCCUGCCCAGUGCCAGAAGGUUAAAGAAGUUGGUUAGCAAUUGCGAAGCUGAUAACUGAAGCCCUGGUGAACGGCGGCCGUAACGAUAACGGUCCUAAGGUAGCGAAAUUCCUUGUCGGGUAAGUUCCGACCCGCACGAAAGGCGUAAUGAUUUGGAUACUGUCUCGGAGAGGGGCUCGGUGAAAUAGACUUGUCUGUGAAGAUGCGGACCACCUGCACCAGGACAGAAAGACCCUAUGAAGCUUUACUGUAACUUGAAAUUGAAAUUGGACUUUAUUCGCGCAGUAUAGGUGGGAGGCGUUGAUUAUAAUCUUGUGGGAUUAUUGGAGCCAUCAGUGAGAUACCACUCUUGUAAUGUUAGAUUUCUAACUUUGAAUCAUUAUCUGGUCAAAGAACAGUUUCAGGCGGGCAGUUUGACUGGGGCGGUCGCCUCCUAAACGGUAACGGAGGCGUACAAAGGUUUCCUCUGAACGGUUAGAAAUCGUAUCUAGAGUGUAAAGGCAUAAGGAAGCUUGACUGUGAGACCUACAAGUCGAGCAGGGACGAAAGUCGGUCUUAGUGAUCUGACGGUACUGAGUGGAAAGGCCGUCACUCAACGGAUAAAAGUUACUCUAAGGAUAACAGGCUGAUCUCCCCCAAGAGUUCACAUCGACGGGGAGGUUUGGCACCUCGAUGUCGGCUCAUCGCAUCCUGGGGCGGUAGUACGUCCCAAGUGUUGGGCUGUUCGCCCAUGAAAGCGGUACGCGAGCUGGGUUCAGAACGUCGUGAGACAGUUCGGUCCAUAUCCGGUGUAGGCGUUAGAAUAUUGAGAGGAGCCUUCUUUAGUACGAGAGGACCGAGAGGGACAUACCUCUGGUGUACCAGUUAUCGUGCCAACGGUAAACGCUGGGUAGCUAUGUAUGGAGUGGAUAACCGCUGAAAGCAUCUAAGUGGGAAGCCCACCUCAAGAUAAGUAUUCUCAU
rnacentral:rRNA from 1 species